rnacentral:rRNA from 1 species
CUCAAGUGAUGAUUAUUGGAGGUAGAGCACUGUUUGGACGAGGGGCCCCUCUCGGGUUACCGAAUUCAGACAAACUCCGAAUGCCAAUUAAUUUAACUUGGGAGUCAGAACAUGGGUGAUAAGGUCCGUGUUCGAAAGGGAAACAGCCCAGACCACCAGCUAAGGUCCCAAAAUAUAUGUUAAGUGGAAAAGGAUGUGGCGUUGCCCAGACAACUAGGAUGUUGGCUUAGAAGCAGCCAUCAUUUAAAGAGUGCGUAAUAGCUCACUAGUCGAGUGACACUGCGCCGAAAAUGUACCGGGGCUAAACAUAUUACCGAAGCUGUGGAUUGUCCUUUGGACAAUGGUAGGAGAGCGUUCUAAGGGCGUUGAAGCAUGAUCGUAAGGACAUGUGGAGCGCUUAGAAGUGAGAAUGCCGGUGUGAGUAGCGAAAGACGGGUGAGAAUCCCGUCCACCGAUUGACUAAG